UACGUAGGGGGCAAGCGUUAUCCGGAUUUACUGGGUGUAAAGGGAGCGUAGACGGCUGAACAAGUCUGGAGUGAAAUCCCGGGGCUCAACCCCGGAGCUGCUCUGGAAACUGUAUAGCUAGAGUACUGGAGAGGCAGGCGGAAUUCCUAGUGUAGCGGUGAAAUGCGUAGAUAUUAGGAGGAACACCAGUGGCGAAGGCGGCCUGCUGGACAGCGACUGACGUUGAGGCUCGAAAGCGUGGGGAGCAA
rnacentral:rRNA from 1 species